UACGAAGGGGGCUAGCGUUGCUCGGAAUCACUGGGCGUAAAGCGCACGUAGGCGGAUCUUUAAGUCAGGGGUGAAAUGCUGGAGCUCAACUCCAGAACUGCCUUUGAUACUGGGGAUCUCGAGUCCGGAAGAGGUGAGUGGAACUCCGAGUGUAGAGGUGAAAUUCGUAGAUAUUCGGAAGAACACCAGUGGCGAAGGCGGCUCACUGGUCCGGUACUGACGCUGAGGUGCGAAAGCGUGGGGAGCAAACAGG
rnacentral:rRNA from 1 species